rnacentral:rRNA from 1 species
CACGUAGGGCGCGAGCGUUGUCCGGAAUUAUUGGGCGUAAAGAGCUCGUAGGCGGCCUGUUGCGUCCGCUGUGAAAGCCCGGGGCUUAACCCCGGGUCGGCAGUGGAUACGGGCAGGCUAGAGGUAGGUAGGGGAGAAUGGAAUUCCCGGUGUAGCGGUGAAAUGCGCAGAUAUCGGGAGGAACACCGGUGGCGAAGGCGGUUCUCUGGGCCAAUACUGACACUGAGGAGCGAAAGCGUGGGGAGCGAACAGG